rnacentral:rRNA from 1 species
AUGGGUAAGCUUUUAAACUCCGCCGACGACCUCGACCGCUUCGACCUCCAUGGGCUUAUGUGGGAGGAGGGCCAAGAAGACGGCUGCAUCUGGCUCGCCGGCCACUCUCUCGGAGCGGCCGUGGCGCAGGUCGUGGGGCGGUGCAUGAUGGAGCGGGAGGAGCCGCUCAACCUCCCGGCCUUCCUCUUCAACCCACCGUACGUGGCCUUUAUAACGUCCAUCAAGUUGCUCAACUUCUUGAAGGCCGAUCCGGUGGCGAAGAGGCACUUCUACUUCGCGAGCAGCCUCUUGAAGGCCGCUGCAGGACUGGUGUUGGUCUCCCAUCGGAAGCGCAGGGAGAAGUCGUUCAAGCGGGUUUCCGCUUGGGUGCCGAAUCUGUACAUGCACGAGGAUGACUGGAUCUGCCGGGGCUUCAUCGGCUACUUUGAGGCGCGGGAGGAGUUCAAGGAAAGCUUAACCCGUGUUGGCAUCUGGUUCAAAGACCACUUCGGGGGCCGGGACAAGUUCAAGAAAUUCUUCACCCGUGUUGGCAUCUGGUCGAUGGCACUCUCGCACUGCGACGUGCUCUCCUGGGCCCUGCUUGGCAAGGACAAGGAGCGGCCGCACCUCCUGCCAUCGGUGACGCUGUGGAAAAGCAGGUUCGACCCCGAAUGUGCGCAUGAUCUCCGGCACUGGUGGAAACCGGACAGUGAGCUCAAGUUGGGCGCCGGCACGUCUUAUAGCUGCCCUGUACACGAAGUACAAACUACUUCUAGCUCUAUGCUGGCUAGCUCUACCCCGUGGGCGUCGUUUGCUUCUUAA